rnacentral:rRNA from 1 species
AUGGCCAGGCCAUACUCCUAUAUAUUGCAGCAUAAGAGAGAAGCUGCUCUGUCUCAUUUCCAUCUGCCAUUUCCAACCAACAUGAUUAAGCUUGGGCUCCUCAUCCGAGGAACUGCGCUGCUCCUUUGCCUAUUGAUCUUCCGAGCAGCACACUCUUUGAGAUUAGCCAUCAAACAAAAAUGGGUUCCUCCAUUUAGAUUGAAGGUCGCAGGUUUCGCUUCAUGCCAAGUGGGACCCAGUUUUCCAGAGUGGCUUAGAUGGCAAUCUGACAUUGAUGUUCUUGUUCUUAGUAAUGCAAAUCUAGAUGAUGUUAUUCCUGAUUGGUUUUGGGUGACAUUUUCCCGAGCUUCAUUCUUGCAAGCAUCAGGAAACAAAUUGCAUGGCUCAUUACCGGCAGAUCUACAACACAUGUCAGCUGACCACAUAUAUCUUGGGUCCAAUAAGUUUACCGGACAAGUUCCACGGUUACCUAUAAAUAUAUCAAGACUAAACCUAUCUUCAAACUCUUUCUCUGGGUUAUUACCAUCAGAGCUGAAUGCUCCACUACUUGGAGAGUUUUUGCUUGCUAAUAAUCAACUUACAGGCACCAUCCCGUCGUCUAUAUGCCAGUUGACUAGACUGAAUAGGUUGGACCUAUCAGGAAACCAUCUUACUGGAGAUAUUAUACAGUGCUGGAAGGAAUCUGAUGCAAACUCUACAAAUCAAUUUGGUUUUGACAUGCUAAGCUUAUCCCUGAAUAACAACAGUCUCACUGGUGAAUUCCCUAAGUUUCUUCAAAGGUCGUCAAGGUUAAUGUUCCUUGAUCUUUCUUACAAUAGGUUAUUUGGAGGAUUGCCAGAAUGGUUGCCAGAAAAAAUGCCGCAUCUGAAAAUAUUAAGAGUGAGAUCAAAUAUGUUCAGCGGUCAUAUUCCAAAGAAUCUCACUUCCCUUGACAGUCUCCAUUAUUUGGACAUAGCAUACAACAACAUAUCAGGAAGCAUAGCAUGGUCUUUGUCAAACCUGAAGGCAAUGAUGACAGUGGUGUCGGAGGACACAGAGGAUUACAUUUUUGAAGAGAGCAUCCCAGUAAACACGAAGGACCAAAAACGUGACUAUACCUUUGCAAUCUACAAGCUACUAGUGAUUCUUGAUUUGUCAAGUAAUAGUUUGACAUGGCAUGUUCCGGAGGAGAUAACUCUACUCAUUGGGCUUACCAAUCUGAACUUGUCAAAUAAUCAACUCACAGGGCCAAUCCCAAACCACAUUGGUGAUUUAAGGCAGUUGGACUCACUCGACCUAUCCUUCAAUGAGUUUUCUGGUGCAAUACCAUCAAGUUUGUCAGCUUUAACUUAUUUGAGCUACUUGAACUUGUUAUACAACAAUCUGUCCGGUGCAAUACCAUCCGGACAACAACUACAAGCUCUUGAUAACCAGAUGUAUAUCUACAUCGGCAACCCUGGCCUUUGUGGAGGUCCUGUCGGCGGGAACUGCUCAUCACAUAAUGCAGAGCAAAGUGGCCUCGGAGAUAUGAAUGAUAUGCCUUCCCUUUACAUUGCCAUGAGCAUUGGGUUUGUGGUGGGUCUGUGGACAGUUUUCUGCACCAUGUUGAUGAAGAGAACCUGGAGGGAUGCGUUCUUCCGGUUUAUUGAUAGGACGUACGACAUGGUUUAUGUGCAAGUCGCUAUAAGGUGGGCUCACGUGAUGGAGAAAACUCAAGAAAGUGCACCAUGA